AUUGAACGCUGGCGGCAUGCUUUACACAUGCAAGUCGAACGGUAACACGCUUUCGGGUUCUGAUGAGCGGCGAACGGGUGCGUAAUGCAUCGGAACGUACCCAGAGGUGGGGUUUAGCGCAGCGUAAGCUAUGUUAAUAUAGCAUGUGAUCUGAGGAUGAACUCGGGGGACCGAGCAGGAAUUUUUGGCCUCGCGCGUUUGGAGCGGCCGAUGUCGGAUUAGCUAGUUGGGGGGGUAAAUGCCUACCAAGGCGACGAUCCGUAGCUGGUCUGAGAGGACGAUAGGCCGCACGGGAACGGAGACACGGCCCAGACGACUACGGGAGGCAGCAGUGGGGAAUGUGAGACAGAGGGCGCAAGCCUGAUCCAACAAUGCCGAGUGCGAGAAGAAGGCCUUCGGGUUGUAAAGCCGUUUUGUCGGGAACGAAACGCUGUCGGCUAAUACCGGGCGCUAAUGACGGUACCUGGAGAAGAAGCACCGGCUAACUACGUG
rnacentral:rRNA from 1 species